UAUUCAUCCCACCUAUUCCAAAACCCUAAUCAUUUUCCUAUUCUCUUCCCUCUCUCUAUCCUCUACCCUAUAUUCUCUCUCUCUAACAUCUUUCAUUCUCUUCCAUCUCCAGAUUUCGAAAACUUUCGUUGGAUGUCACCUUGGAUGUCGUUGCCCCGAUGACAAGUCAUCGUUGCCCGCGGUGUUAGCGACGCUGUGUAGCAGCCACUGUACACAUUGUGACAUCAUUGCUGUAGUGCGACGAUGCGUAGCGGUGAAUGAUGGGGGAUCUAGGGAAAAUUUGGUUGCAAUUUGGUGCUGGAAUUUUGUUGGUCGUGUGAAUUUUUUUGGUCGCGAUAUUGGGAAAUUUUGGUCAAGAUCUGAUCGCGAUUUGGUGCCCGAAAAAUUUGGAUUGAUUUUUGUUGGUUUUGUGUAGUUGUGGUGGUGGCUGUAUUUGUGGUGGUAUUUGCGGUGCUCUGAGGUAAUGGCGAAGUUGGUGGUGCUAGUUGUUUUUUGGUAGAGGCGAAGGAAAUGGUGGAUUUGAGGUGGUCGUGUUGGAAUAAUUAAUAAUUUCAUACGUGGGCUUCACAUUCGAUUGUAAAUUUUACCGGUUAGAUGUAUAGUUCAUAAUGAUAUUUGUGUUUUGACCAAAUUUAUUAAGUGAUCAAUUGUGCAUUUUAUACCUUACGGGUUAUAAUUAAUUUGAUGUGGCAAUUUAAAGUAUGUGGGUCGAAAAUAAACCCUAAUUAGAAUUCUAGUCGUAAUGGGGCGGUUCAAUUAUUUCCUAUAUAAAGGCUAUGUCCCCUCUCCUCUCCAUAAGUCUUUUAUUGGCUUGUCCCAUUGAUAACUAAUACUUUUGUGAGGAGUAAGGAGGGAAAGAUCUUGAUUGCUAUUACAACUAUCAUUCAUAUCAACAAUGACUUCAGAAGGUAAGAAUUUGUUUUAUUAAUUCAUUAUUUGGUGAUUCUUGAUUCUUAGUAUAAUUACAAAUAAAUUUCAACAAUUGGUAUCAGAGCUUAAUGCUAAAAUCAGAAUCCAUCAUUAAAACAAUAUGUAUUCUCUGACUGAAUAAUUCUAAAGUUUCUGCUGCCCGUCGAUUUAAAUCUUUGGAAUUGUUAUGUUUUCAAAGUUUUGAAAUAAAUAAAAAUAAAAUAAAAUAAAAUUAAUACGUUGAAGCGGCGCCGUGGUGGUUGAUUGAUUGUAGGAGUUGUUGACUGGAAUAAUCAACUGCCUUUAUUACCACCACCAUCAUCCCCUAUUCAUUGUGUUCAAUGUGUUGUGGACUUGUGGUGAUGUCAGAUUUUGAUUGCAUCAAUUGGUUUUCAUUUAUGAGAUUUACUAUUUCUCAACUUCUGUUUGAUUCUAGAUUUAUCAAAUCAUGCUAUUCAAUUUUGAACACGAUCUAAAGUCUUAUUUUCACGUUUUUCCUUUUUAAUUUAUUUUCUUUCUCGAUUUUCUCAAUUCCAACUUAUUACAGAGUUAAUAUGAUCUAAAAAUUUGUUUCACGUAGGAAAUUCAGCAUUUUUAUCUACAUGUGAAUGUCUUAUGGUGGUUUUAUAUUGAUGUUAGACGAUAAAAUUUCAAUGUGAUAAACAUCAAUGUAAAUUCCUGUGGAUAAUUGCAUGAUUUGCCUAUUAGACUCGUGACAAUACCAGAUUCUCAUGAACAACAUUGAAAUAAGAGCCUAAGCUUAGCGUUAUUCUUUAGAUGUUCAUGAGCUUAAAUUUGACCCGUUCAAAAUUAUAUUGAAAAUAAUAAUAAUAAUUAACGACUUUUAUAUUUUCGUUGAAAUAUUUAAUUCAACUGUUGUUAUUAUUUGUUUAUUUAAAUUUCGUCUUUUUAAAUAUUGAAAUUUUGUUGUCCAUUUUGUAUCUCAAUCACAUAUAAAUUUUGCCUUUUAUCGAUUAAUUAUUAUGAUUUGUUGCAUAAUUAUUGUUUUGUGAUUGAUUUUUCAUGGGCUUCAAGACGAUUCUUAUUUUCUCACUGAUGGAGAAAUGCUUAGAAAUAAAAAUGGGUGGUAGCUGCCAAAUUGGCACACUCAUUAUUAUUUAUUCGAUUUUCUCUACAACAAAAAUAUAUAUAUUUUUAUCCAACAAUUUUAAUUUAUUGCAUAUAAUAUCUUGUCCAAAGGUAUUAUUAUAUGUGAUAUUUUUCGAAAAAUGGCAUAAGGCAGUUAACGAUCUUAUUUUGAUCUAGAAAUUUCCUUCGGUCCAAAGGUGUUGGUGUUUCAAAAACUAAUGUAGUUUUGUUAACUGGCUACAUGAUGUGUUUUAAGAAUACCUUAAAGCAUGUUGUAUUUUUGACUCAAAUGUGACUUUAUGAUGAUGAUGCAUCUAGGCUCUUACCGUAAUGAAAUUCAUAUAUUUCGAUUCAAAUCACGGAUUAUCUAAUUAAUAGCCCAUAUUAAUUAGUUAGAUACUUCAUCAUCCAUUUGAUUGCAUGCAUUAUGUUUGGAUGAUAUUAAGAGUGAUAUUUUAUGUUUCCACAGUUUAUAAUGUCUUAUCUCUUUCGAACCAAUUGUCUGCUAUUGAAACCUUGACUGGGAAUAAUUAUUGAGAUGGAAACGAGACGUAGAAAUAACAUUUGGUCUUUUGGGCUUGAAUUUUGUAAUGGAGAAAAAGUUUGAGAAAAUCACAGAUAAGAGUACUAUUGAAUAUGUAGCCGAGUAUGAAAAGUGGGAAAGGGCUAACAAACUUUGUUUGAAAAUCAUUAAGUGAGCGAUAUCUGAUUCUAUUUUAGGUGUCAUCUCCGAUAAUGAAAAUGCCAAAAAUUUUAUGGAUGCCAUAGGAGAAAAAUUUAUUGAGUUUGAUAAAGCUGAAAUUGGGGAUAUGAUGGAUAAAUUGAUGAGCAUGAAAUAUGAUGAUACAAGUGGUGUUAGGGAACAUGUCAUGAAAAUGAUAAACAUAUCAUCUAAACUAAAGGCUCUUAACGUUCCAUUGCGGAACCUUUCCUGGUCUAUCAUGUUUUAAAUAGUCUUCCUAGCCAAUUUAAUCAGUUUAAAGUUGCUUACAAUGCUCAGUGGGAUAAGUGAAAUUUGAAUGACCUCAUAGCAGUGUGUGCCCAAAAAGAGUAUAGGAUGCACCGUGAAACUAUUGAAACUGUACAAUUAGCCUUUCAGCCAUCAUAGAAUAAGGGGCCUUCUCAUAACCAUAAACUUAAGUUUCGUAAAGGUAAUAAGUCUCAUCGAAGUCAACAGAAUAAAAAUUUUAGUUGUCCCAAAGGAGUUAUAAAGAAAAAUGAUCAAUGCAAGUUCUGUAAAAAAAAGGGUCACUGGCAAAAAGAUUGUUUUAAAUUUAAGACUUGGUCGGAAAAGAAUAAGAGUGGCCUUAGUUUGUUUUGAGUCUUCUUUAAUAGAUGUGCCUUUGAAUUCUUGGUGGUUACACUCGGGAGUUAGUAUUCAUAUUGCGAAUUCCUUGCAGGGGUUCACAAACAAACGGAGACCAAGUGAGAAUGAAGUGAGCUUUAGCGUUGCAAAUGGAGUUCAAGUGAUGGUUGAAUUCAUAGGAGUAGUGAAGUUGACUUUAGAGUCUAGUUUCUCUCUUGUUUUAGAAAAUACAGUUUAUGUACUGCAAAUGAGAUGAACUUUAAUUUCUAUAUCGAAACUUGAUGCUUGUGGUUUUACAUUUAAUUUUGGUAAUGGAAUGGUUAAGUUAUUUAAUGAUUCUCGUUUGAUUGGAAAUGACAUUUUAUGUGAUGGUUUAUAUAAAUUAUCUUUGUCUCCUUUUGGUGAUGUCUCAUGUGUUACUAAUGAAUUAAAAAAAAAACUUUAAUUCGUGAAUCAUCCUCUAUAUUGUGGCAUAAGCGUUUGAGUCAUAUCUCUAAGGAUAUAAUGGAAAGAUUAGUAAAAGAUGAGAUACUUCCCUCCUUAGACUUCUCCAAUUUUGACACCUGUGUAGAUUGUAUAAGAGGAAAGUUAACUAAGUCUACGAGGAAGGGUUCGACUAGGAGUAAUGGAAUUUUGGAUUUAAUUCACACUGGUAUCAAUGGACCUUUGCCUUCCACUAUAUGUGGGAAUAAAUAUUUCAUAACUUUCGUUGAUAAUUUCUCACGAUAUGGAUAUGUUUACUUGAUUAACGAUAAAUCAAAUGCAUUUGAGAAAUUUAAAGUUUUCAAACUGGAAUUAGAGAAACAAUGUGGGAAAAGUAUCAAAGUUGUAAGGUUUGACCGUGGAAGUGAGUACUAUGGGAAAUAUGACGAGUCUGGUCAAAAUAUGAGUGAUUUUGUAAAGUUUUUACAAGAGUGUUGAAUAGUGCCCCAAUAUACCAUAUCAGGGACACCUGAACAGAAUGGUGUUUCUAAAAGACGUAAUCGAACUCUAAAAAAUAUAGAUAGAAGUAUGAUGAGUAGAACAAAUUUGCCUGAAUAUUUGUGGAGUGAAGCCUUGAAAACAGUUAUAUAUAUUUUUAACAGAGUUCCAAGUAAAGCUGUUGCAAAGACAUCUUUUGAAUUAUGGACAGGACGUAAGCCAAGUAUGGCUCACUUUAAAGUUUGGGAUGUCCAACUGAGGUUAUGAUUUAUAAUCCAUUUGAAAAGAAAUUAGACCCUAAAUCAACUCCUGACUACUUUAUUGGGUAUUCAGAUAGAUCAAAGGGAUAUAAGUUUUACUGUCCAAAUCACGGCACUAGAAUUGUGAAGUUCAUUAUUGCUAAGUUUCUAGAGAACGAUUUUGGAGAUAGUGGGAGUUCUACGUUGAGAGAAAUUCUUGUUGAACCUAAUCAAGUUGUUGUUCCAGUUCCUGUCAUACAGGAAAGAGUUGGUUCUCAACCAAUUGAAAUUGUUAAUGAAAAACCGAUGAACUAGGAGGAAUCUCCAUUUCCUCAAACAAUGAUUGAAUCGGUUCUUGAACCACAAGUUAGGAGAUCACAAAGGAAAAGAAGAUCUGCAUUGCCCAAUGAUUAUAUUACAUAUUUAUUGGAGAGCGAUUUUAAUAUUGGGCACAUUGUUGAUUCUGUAACUUAUAACCAAGCAUUGACAAGUCCUGAGGCAGAUAAAUGGAUAGCUGCCAUGGAAGAUGAAAUGAAUUCUAUGGAAAUGAAUAAAGUUUGGGAUCUUGUUGAACUUCUUCCAUAUACUAAGACUGUAGAUAACAAGUGGAUUUUCAAAAGUAAAUUAGAUUCAAAAGGAAAUGUUGAACGAAAGAAAACAAGAUUGGUUGCAAAAGGUUUCACUCAGCGAGAGGGCUUUGAUUAUGUUGAAACCUUCUCACCUGUUUCGUCGAAAGAUUCUUUUCGAAUUAUCAUAGUUCUUGUGACACACUACAAUUUGGAGCUUCAUCAAAUGGAUAUUAAGACGACAUUUUUGAAUGGAGAUCUUUCUGAAAUGGUUUAUAUGAAACAACCUGAAGGUUUUGUUGUGAAAUGAAAAGAAAACUUGGUAUGUAAGUUAAACAAAUCCUUAUAUGGUCUCAAGCAAGCAUCUCGACAGUGGUAUUUGAAAUUUGAUGAGGUUGUGACCUCUCUUGGUUUUGUUGAAAAAAACUAUUGAUCAAUGCAUUUAUCUUAAAACCAGUGAGAGAAAUUUUAUUUUCUUUGUACUGUAUGUUGAUGACAUUCUGCUUGCUGACAGUAACUUAGGGUUGCUUCAUGAGACAAAGAAAAUGUUGUCUGCUAAUUUUGAGAUGAAAGAUCUUGAAAAAGCUUCCUAUGUACUUGACAUUGAAAUACAUCGUGAUAAAAAUCAUGGCUUAUCGGGACUUUCUCAGAAAGCUUAUAUACGAUGUGUUCUAGAAAUGUUUAAUAUGCAAAAUUGUGUACCUGGUGAUGUACCUAUCAUAAAAGGAGAUAAAUUUAACAAAACUCAAUGUCCAAGGAAUGAGUUAGAAAGGGAAUCUAUGAAGAUGAUUCCAUAUGCUAGUGCUGUGGGGAGCUUGAUGUAUACUCAAGUGUGCAUUAGACUGGAUUUAGCCUACGCAGUAAGUGUCCUUAACAGAUUUCAAUCUAAUCCAGGACAAGAGCAUUGAAAAGCAGUUAAGAAAGUUAUGAGAUAUUUGAAGAAAAUUAAAAGUUAUAUGCUUAUAUUCCAGCAUACAAAUCAUCUUGAGGUGGUAGGAUAUUCAGAUUCUGAUUUUGUUGGAUGUCAAGAUGAUUUGAAAUCAACCUCAGGUUAUAUUUUUACAUUAGCUGGUGGUGCCAUUUCUUGGAAAAGUGCUAAUAGACUCUAGUGGUAUUUUUUACUAUGCAAGCUGAAUUUGUGACAUGUUAUGGGGCUACAGUCCAAGUCGUUUGGUUAAGAAAUUUCAUCUCUGGCUUGAAAGUUGUUGAUUCCAUCUCAAGAUCGAUCACCAUCUACUGUGAUAACAGUGCAACAGUAUUCUUUUCAAAGAAUAAUAAAAGUUCUGGUGGGUCAAAACAUAUUGAUAUCAAAUAUUUGGUUGUUAGAGACAGAGUCAAAGAAGGGUAGACGAAAAUAAAGCAUAUCAAUACAGAGGCAAUGAUUGCAGACCCUUUGAUUAAGGGACUCGCUCUAAAAGUCCAUCAGACGCAUGUUAUUAAUAUGGGUAUUGUGGAAACAUUUGAUGUUUUUGGUUAGUGAAAGUUAUUUAUGUUAAGAACUACGUUUUGGGUUUGAUCCCUUUGCGGGGUACGUAGGCAACCCAUAUGUUUUCGGGUACAACCCUUUCUGACAAUAAAAUAUUUUUCCCCUAUCAAUGGACUAUUUUGAGCAUGCAUUUGACUUAUGUCUUUUAUUAUAAUAUUAUUGUGAUAUUGAGAUACAACAUGUAAAGACAUAAGAUGAGUCUCUUUUGGAGACAUGUGACUUCAUUUUGAUCAGAAGCAUUAUGAAGACCGAUAUGAAUUAGCACAAUUUUGAUCACAUUUGGUGCUAAGUUCAUACCACAUACUACCACAUUGGUUGGAGGAUGGGGAUCAUGUCGAUAGAGAUGUUGACAUUUGUAGCUAUGGAAUAGUCUUACAUCGCGUAAUUGGUGUAAUGACUUCCAUGUUCGGUAUUAAUAUUAUUGUUGGACCGGAUCAUGUUACGUAAGGUGACAUCAUUCGAGUCAUACUUUUGUGGCCACUAAUGUAGUCUAACCCAAGUGUUAAAACUUUGUUAUGGCAAUCAAAUGUUUGUCCAAGUGGGAAAAUGUUGAAAUAAUUAAUAAUUCCAUAUGUGGGCUUCACAUUCGAUUGUAAAUUUUACGGGUUAGAUGUAUGGCUCAUAAUGAUAUUUGUGUUUGGGCCAAAUUUAUUAAGUGAUCAAUUGUAUCUUUUACACCUUACGGAUUGUAAUUAAUUUGAUGUGGUAAUUUAAAGUAUGUGGGUCGAAAAUAAACCCUAAUUAGAAUUCUAGUCGUAAUGGGACGGUUCAAUUAUUUCCUAUAUAAAGGUUAGGUCUCCUCUCCUCUCCAUAAAUUUUUUAUUGGCUUGCCCCCAUUGAUAGCUAAUACUUUUGUGAGGAGCAAAGAGGGAAAGAUCUUGGCUGCUAUUACAACUAUCAUUCAUAUCAACAAUGACUUUCGUAAGUAUGAAUUUGUUUUAUUAAUUCAUUAUUUGGUGAUUCUUGAUUCUUAGCAUAAUUACAAAUAAAUUUCAACAAUUGGAACUUAUUACUUUUACGAAACUUAAGUUUAUGGUUAUGAGAAAGCCCCUUAUUCUAUGAUAGCUGAAAAGCUAAUUGUACAGUUUCAAUAGUUUCACGACACAUCCUAUACUCUUCUUGGCUGUAUUGGUGGAGGUAUUUGCGGUGCUCUGAGGUAGUGGCGAUGUUGGUGGUGCUAGUUGUUUUUUGGUAGAGGA
rnacentral:lncRNA from 1 species